rnacentral:rRNA from 1 species
AGCCUGAACGCUGGCGGCGUGGUUAAGACAUGCAAGUCGCACGGACGUAGCAAUACGUUAGUGGCGAACGGGUGAGUAAUGAAUCGCUAAUGUACCCCGGACUCUGGGAUAGCCGGUCGAAAGAUCGGGUAAUACCAGAUGAUAUGCUUUUAUCGCAUGAUAGAAGCCUCAAAGGUCCGCCGGUCUGGGAGCAGGCGAUUUUGUAUCAGCUAGUUGGUGAGGUAACGGCUCACCAAGGCGACGACGCAUAGCCGGACUGAGAGGUUGGCCGGCCACAUUGGGACUGAGACACUGCCCAGACUCCUACGGGGGGCUGCAGUAACGAAUCUUCCGCAAUGUACGAAAGUAUGACGGAGCGACGCCGCGUGUAGGACGAAGCCCUUCGGGGUGUAAACUACUGUCAAGGGUUAGAAAGUUCCGAUCAACCCUAGAGGAAGGCACGGCUAACUCUGUGCCAGCAGCCGC